rnacentral:rRNA from 1 species
UACGUAGGGUGCGAGCGUUAAUCGGAAUUACUGGGCGUAAAGCGUACGCAGGCGGCUGCGCAAGACAGGUGUGAAAUCCCCGGGCUUAACCUGGGAACUGCAUUUGUGACUGCGCGGCUAGAGUCCGUAAGAGGGGGGUGGAAUUCCACGUGUAGCAGUGAAAUGCGUAGAGAUGUGGAGGAACACCGAUGGCGAAGGCAGCCCCCUGGGAUGAGACUGACGCUCAUGUACGAAAGCGUGGGGAGCAAACAGG